GAUAGUCAUAGCAUUCCAUGCCCAUUGGAAGGAUUUAGAAAGAGAUGUCCUCAAAGAAAACGCUUCUCAAAUUCAUUUUAAUAACCCCCUUCUCAUUUUCCCAGGCUUGCUGUGGUAUAGAAACUGGAACCUUCAACUGCAAGAUCAGUCACGUUCAAACAAUAUCUUUCCAAACAUGGAGAAGACCACCCCAAGCGGAAGAUCCCUAAAGCAAAACUACCCAUCACCACCAAGCCAUGGACUAUUAGAGGUUUUCGCAAAAUCUGAAUUCUACUCGGCAAAUGUUUGCUUGCCACAAAUGGCUGCUGAUGUGGCAGCUCCCUUUCUGAGCUUGGAGAUUUGUAUGGAUUAAGGUAUCAGUGACUGAUGCAGCCCCAGAGCUCAAGUAGAUGGACACAAUUUGCAAGAGAAAGAGAAUUCCUCUCAUUUCUCACUCCCAGCCUGCCCCAUAGUCCUUCCCUGCCCCGGCUAUCCUGCUUAUGUCAAUAGAAACACAGUGCUAGCUCAAGGGAUAUAGUAUUCUCACUGUAUUAGAAUUUAUCUGAUUAUACAAUAUUUUCUAUUCAGUUCUGGAUACCUCAUUUUAUAGAAUAUAUUAACUAAGGAAGGAAGAACAGAGUGAGGAAAGAUCUGGAAAUCAGGUCUCAGGAGGAACAAAUGAAGAAAUUGAGAAUGUAUAUUGCUCAACAGAGGGAAAGACCUAUGGGCACACAGGACAGCUGUCUUCAAAUAUUUGGAGAGGUAGCGUAGGGAAAAGGAGUUAAGAGUUAUUGUGUUGGCUCCAGAGGGCAACAAAGAAGUAGAAUCAAUGGGUGUAAGUGCCAAGAAGGCAAACUCCCAUUCCAUAUAAAGAACCAUUCUAUCAUUUACAGCAGCCUAACAUUAUGGGAGUCUUCCUUAUAAAUAGUGAUCUCUGCCAGGCACAGUGGCUCAUGCUUAUAAUCCCAGCACUUUGGGAGGCUGAGGAAGGCAGAUCACUUGAGGUCAGGAGUUCGAGACCAGCCUGGCCAACAUGAAGAAACCCCGUCUCUACUAAGAAAUACAAAAAUUAGCCAGGCAUGGUGGCGGGUGCCUGUAAUCUCAGCUACUUGGGAGGCUGAGGCAGGGAGAAUUGCUUGAAUCCAGGAGGUGGAGGUUGCAG
rnacentral:lncRNA from 10 species